rnacentral:rRNA from 1 species
UACGUAGGGUGCAAGCGUUAAUCGGAAUUACUGGGCGUAAAGAGCUCGUAGGCGGCUUGUCGCGUCGUCCGUGAAAACCUGCAGCUCAACUGCAGGCUUGCGGUCGAUACGGGCAGGCUCGAGUUCGGUAGGGGAGACUGGAAUUCCUGGUGUAGCGGUGAAAUGCGCAGAUAUCAGGAGGAACACCGGUGGCGAAGGCGGG